GCCUGGGUGGCUCAGUGGUUGAGCGCCUGCCUUCAGCUCAGGGCAUGAUCUCGGGGUCCUGGGAUCAAGUCCCAUGUCGGGCU
rfam:Canis lupus familiaris chromosome 6, whole genome shotgun sequence.